rnacentral:rRNA from 1 species
AUUGAACGCUGGCGGCAGGCCUAACACAUGCAAGUCGAACGGUAGCACAGAGAGCUUGCUCUCGGGUGACGAGUGGCGGACGGGUGAGUAACGUCUGGGAAACUGCCCGAUGGAGGGGGAUAACUACUGGAAACGGUAGCUAAUACCGCAUAACGUCACAAGACCAAAGUGGGGGAUCUUCGGGCCUCACCCCACCGGAUUCGCCCCGAUGGGAUUAGCUAGUAGGUGGGGUAAUGGCUCACCUAAGCGACGGUACCUAGCUGGUCUGUGAGGAUGACCAGCCACACUGGAACUGAGACACGGUCCAGACUCCUACGGGAGGCAGCAGUGGGGAAUAUUGCACAAUGGGCGCAAGCCUGAUGCAGCCGUGCCGCGUGUAUGAAGAAGGCCUUCGGGUUGUAAAGGACUUUCAGCGGGGAGGAAGGCGGUGAAGUUAAUAGCUUAACCGAUUGACGUUACCCGCAGAAGAAGCACCGGCUAACUCCGUGCCAGCCGCCGCCGUAA